AGAAGUAGAUGUUACUAAAGGGUGAUGUGGACGGUGAUUGCAAGUGAUUUGGCUUUUAGAAAUUGAUAGCAUAUAAGCAUGGCUGGUAUGGUUUUGAUGAUGGGAGGAAAGAUUCUUAUUGAAUUAUUUUUUGGCUUUUCAAAGAAGGAGGUCACGGCAGGGGAGAACUUUUUAGAAGUGUUUUUUUUUUUUAAUUCCCAUUACUCUUAGGAAAUGCGUCUGACGUUGGGGUUUUAGGAGAAUGGAGGAAUUUAUUUUCUUUAUUUUAGAAGCUUGAGAGGUCACGUGAUUUGGUGGAGGAAAACUAUACUCACUUAUUUCUUGCUUUAAAAUAUUUGGCAUAGUAUAUUGAGUUGUGUUUCAUUUUUCUUAAUGUAGUAUUGCAUUUUAAUAGCUUUAAUUGUGCUUAGAUAUUUCUUUUCUCUACUAUUGAGUUUAGCAUUUUCACUCUCUUUAAUGCUUUCUAUGAUGUUCGAAUGUGUUUAAUUUUUAUUUUUAAUUUCGUCAGUUGCAUUCACAAACAAAACUUUUCACCAACCCCCCCCCACUUCGUGUAUGACCUAAUUCUCGAAUCACAUUUGGUCCUUGAGAGACUACCUAGGGGUCAUUCCCUAGCUAUACUACAUUUAUUUUCACAUCAAAUUUGUGUGGGUUGCGACAGCCCAUCAAAUUUUGGCGCCGUUGCUGGGGACCAACGGUUCAGUUUUAGGUCUUUUGUUGUGUUAUUGUGUGUUGUGUUUUGUCUUGUGUUCUGAGUAUGAUGCUUUGUUUUGUUUGUUCGUCAUUGUGUGUUGCAUUUAGGUAGCUUUAGUUGCAUAUUUUCAUUGCAUUCUUCUUUUCCCCCUUCUUUCCCAUGUCUACCUAUUUUGGUUAUGUGGAUACUGUUUCUUCUGCCUGUGCCUAUGACUAUGAUUCUCCUCCUGC
rnacentral:lncRNA from 1 species